GACGUAGGGAGCGAGCGUUGUCCGGAUUCAUUGGGCGUAAAGAGCGUGUAGGUGGACUGGAAGGUCUGGUGUGAAAGCCCGGGGCUCAACCCCGGAGGGUCACUGGAAACCAACAGUCUUGAGUCUGGAAGAGGAGAGUGGAAUUCCUGGUGUAGCGGUGGAAUGCGCAGAUAUCAGGAGGAACACCAAUGGCGAAGGCAGCUCUCUGGUACAUGGCUGACACUGAGACGCGAAAGCGUGGGGAGCGAACAGG
rnacentral:rRNA from 1 species